rnacentral:rRNA from 1 species
UCGCACCUACCGAUUGAGUGGUCCGGUGAAGGCUCCGGAUUAUGGUUAUUGCUUUCAUUAGGAAUGACCGUGAGAAGCUGUCUGAACCUUAUCACUUAGAGGAAGGUG